UAUAGGAGACAGCCUUUUGUAUAAUGGGUCAGCGACUUAUAUUCUGUAGCAAGGUUAACCGAAUAGGGGAGCCGGAGGGAAACCGAGUCUUAAUUGGGCGUUAAGUUGCAGGGUAUAGACCCGAAACCCGGUGAUCUAGCCAUGGGCAGGUUGAAGGUUGGGUAACACUAACUGGAGGACCGAACCGACUAAUGUUGAAAAAUUAGCGGAUGACCUGUGGCUGGGGGUGAAAGGCCAAUCAAACCGGGAGAUAGCUGGUUCUCCCCGAAAGCUAUUUAGGUAGCGCCUCGUGAAUUCAUCUCCGGGGGUAGAGCACUGUUUCGGCUAGGGGGCCAUCCCGGCUUACCAACCCGAUGCAAACUGCGAAUACCGGAGAAUGUUAUCACGGGAGACACACGGCGGGUGCUAACGUCCGUCGUGAAGAGGGAAACAACCCAGACCGCCAGCUAAGGUCCCAAAGUCAUGGUUAAGUGGGAAACGAUGUGGGAAGGCCCAGACAGCCAGGAUGUUGGCUUAGAAGCAGCCAUCAUUUAAAGAAAGCGUAAUAGCUCACUGGUCGAGUCGGCCUGCGCGGAAGAUGUAACGGGGCUAAACCAUGCACCGAAGCUGCGGCAGCGA
rnacentral:rRNA from 1 species